rnacentral:rRNA from 1 species
CAAUAGCGUAUAUUAAAGUUGUUGCGGUUAAAAAGCUCGUAGUUGGAUCUCGGCAGGCAGGGGGUGGUUCGCUCUUAGCGCUACUGCCCCACUUGCCUGUGUGAUUGGCGGAGGUUUCGGGGUGCUCUUCGUUGAGUGACCCGGGGCGCCGUCAGGUUUACUUUGAAAAAAUUAGAGUGCUCAAAGCAGGCUUUUCACGCUUGAAUAUUCGUGCAUGGAAUAAUGGAAUAGGAACUCGUUUCUAUUUUGUUGGUUUUCGGAAAUCGAGUUAAUGAUUAAUAGGGACAAUUGGGGGCAUUAGUAUUCAGACGACAGAGGUGAAAUUCUUGGACCGUCUGAAGACUAACUACUGCGAAAGCAUUUGCCAAGAGUGUUUUCAUUAA